GACGAACGCUGGCGGCGUGCUUAACACAUGCAAGUCGAACGAAGUGGCGAACGGGUGAGUAAUACGUGGGUAACCUGCCCUCCCUUAUGGGUCAAGCCUUGGAAACGGGGUCUAAUACGGAAUAAAGGGUGAUGGGCUCGCGGCCUGUCGGCUGGUUGGUGGGGUGCUGGCCUACCAAGGCGGUGACGAGUAGCCGGCCUGGGAGGGUGAACGGCCACAGUGGGACUGAGAUACCGCCCAGACUACUACGGGAGGCAGAAGUGGGGGAUAUUGAAAAAUGUGCGAAAGCCUGAUGCAGCGACGCCGCGUGGGGGUUGAAGGCUUUCGGGUUGUAAACCUCUUUAGCUAUAGAACGGGUAGGUGGAGAGGAAGCGCCGGCUAACUACGUGCCAGCAGCCGCGGUAAUAC
rnacentral:rRNA from 1 species